rnacentral:misc_RNA from 1 species
UUCCGCUGGGAAUGUCGGCAAUGAAAAGAUAUUGAAGCUUAAGAGAGCAAAUCCAGUGGCGCUUCUUCUGUCGUCAGCAAUGAUGCUGAGACAUCUUGAAUUUCCGUCAUAUGCUGAUCGUUUAGAAACUGCUGUAAGACAUGUAAUAGAAGAGGGAAAAUUCAGGACAAAGGAUGUUGGAGGGGAUAGCACCACCCAAGAAGUUGUUGAUGCAAUUAUAGCUGCUUUAGACUAAUCGGAAUUGACAGUCGUCAAGUUUUUAGGAGAAUUAUUCACUGUCCAGAGAUCUACUUGGCCUAUUUUUUGCACAGCUGCAAUUUUGUUUUAACUUUCUG